UACGGGGGGGGCAAGCGUUGUUCGGAAUUACUGGGCGUAAAGGGCUCGUAGGCGGCCAACUAAGUCGGAUGUGAAAUCCCCAGGCUCAACCUGGGAACUGCAUCCGAUACUGGAUGGCUUGAAUCCGGGAGAGGGAUGCAGAAUUCCAGGUGUAGCGGUGAAAUGCGUAGAUAUGUGGAAGAACACCUGUGGCGAAAGCGGUUUUCUAGCUCAACCCUGACACUGAGGCACGAAAGCAAGGGGAGCAAACAGG
rnacentral:rRNA from 1 species